UACGGAGGAUGCAAGCGUUAUCCGGAAUGAUUGGGCGUAAAGCGUCCGCAGGUGGCUAUGUAAGUCUGCUGUUAAAGAGUGAGGCUCAACCUCAUAAGAGCAGUGGAAACUACAUAGCUAGAGUGCGUUCGGGGCAAAGGGAAUUCCUGGUGUAGCGGUGAAAUGCGUAGAGAUCAGGAAGAACACCGGUGGCGAAAGCGCUUUGCUAGGCCGCAACUGACACUGAGGGACGAAAGCUAGGGGAGCGAAUGGA
rnacentral:rRNA from 1 species